AGAAAAUAAAAAAUGGAGUCCAGGCAGGAGAAGAAAAAGAAGAAGAUACCCCCUUGCAAGAGAAGACCCCCCGGUAUAUAGUGCUUCCUGUCCUUGUCACUCAGGCCCGUACGUACGGGCGUGUCAGGCACCUGCUCCAUGCGUAACGACAUUUAAUGCUCUCCAGAGCGCAUGCAGGUAGGGCUGGUGAGUGAUUGGGCCUACUCCCUUAUGGGGCUUGUGCUCAUAUCUGAUCCGGAUCAUCCUGGGUUGCCGGCCCAAGCUCGUGAAGUCGAG
rnacentral:lncRNA from 1 species